rnacentral:rRNA from 1 species
UGGGGAAUUUUGCGCAAUGGGGGAAACCCUGACGCAGCAACGCCGCGUGAGUGAUGAAGGCCUUCGGGUCGUAAAGCUCUGUCCGAGGGGAAGAAAUGCAGGGUGGCUAAUAUCCAUGACACUUGACGGUACCCUCAAAG